CUCAUUCUCCUCAACAGAAUGGUGUUCACUCCUUGAAACAUGUAGAGCCUUGCUUUUUCAAUCUGGCCUACCUGUCUCUUUCUGGGGGGAUUGUCUGUUAACUGCCACCUAUCUCCUUAACAAAAUACCUACCAGAACCCUUCAUCAUAAGUCUCCCCAUGAAAUUUUGUAUGGCAAAGCCCCAUCCUAUUCUCAUUUGAGAGCUUUUGGAUGCCUUGCUUAUGCUGCUGUCCCUAUUCCUCAAAGGGACAAGCUAAAACCUUAAAGCCCCAUCCUAUUCUCAUUUGAGAUCUUUUGGAUGCCUUGCUUAUGCUGCUAUCCCUAUCCCUCAAAGGGACAAGCUUAAACCUAGAGCCCAUUCUUGUGUGUUUCUGGGUUACCCCUUUGCUAAAAAGGGUUAUAAACUGUAUGACUUGGCUACGAAGAAGUGUUUUGUUUCAAGGGAUGUUGUUUUUCAUGAAUCCCAUUUUCCUUUUAAGGACAAUCCUACUUCUGUUCAUAUUUCCCGUUCCUCUGUUCCUUCUGUUCCCC
rnacentral:lncRNA from 1 species